AGAAAAGCUAACAAUUUUGUUUACGGGAUGAAAAUCAAUGGCGACGUUCGCUGAUCGGAGCAUCGAAUCGAUAACUCAAAUAGACCUCAAACUUCAACCUCUUCUAACUCCACCAAAAUGAGGUGACAAAAUCGAACCUUUGCUAGAUUUAUGGAGGAAAACAGUCGAUUUAAAACUGUUUCGCGACAGAUUUAUGGCUAGGUUUGGAUGGUUGUAAAUAGGGUUUUGGAGCUGGGUUACAUGGCUAUGGAUGGAGAAUCUUUAAGCUGCUUUUGGAUGAUUUUCAUAUCUCAAACGCUGCCUGUUUCUGGAUCUAUUUUUUAAUCUGGGUUUAGGAUUGUUUUAUGGCUCUUUUUCGGUUGGAUUUGGGGGUGAUUUCAACGUUAUUUAAGAACGAAGAAAGAGGAUGCCUUUGUUGAAGGAGGAGCAACGAGCUUUUUUGAAUCUCAUUCCUCUAUUUUUCCUUUCUUCUAUUGAUCCCC
rnacentral:lncRNA from 1 species